AGUGAACGCUGGCGGCAUGCCUAACACAUGCAAGUCGAACGGCAGCACAGGGAGAGCUUGCUCUUACGGGUGGCGAGUGGCGGACGGGUGAGGAAUGCAUCGGAUUCCUCUUUGUCGGGGGGGAUAACGUAGGAAAACUUCUGCUAAUACCUCAUACGUCCUACGGGGGAAAGCAGGGGAUCUACGGGCCUUUCGCGAUUGUAUGAGCCGAUGUCGGAUUAGCUAGUUGGCUGGGUAAAGGCCUACCAAGGCAACGCUCCGUAGCUGGUCUGACAGGAUGAUCAGCCACACUGGAACUGAGACACGGUCCAGACUCCUACGGGAGGCAGCAGUGGGGAAUAUUGGACAAGGGGCGAAAGCCUGAUGCAGCAAUACCGCGUGAGUGAAGAAGGCCUUCGGCUUGUAAAGCCCUGUUGUUCGGAAAGAAAAAAAGCAGAUUUAACCCCGGCUGUUAUGACGGUACCCAAAGAAUAAGCACCGGCUAACUUCGUG
rnacentral:rRNA from 1 species